GCUUGUCGUGGCCUAGCGGUUAGGGCUCCUGAUUACUGAUCGUAAGAUUACAAGUUUAAAUCUUGGUAUGACCA